GUUGCGUCGGCAUCCAUGCUCCAGUUCGCGAUGCUCAUGACAUGGGCGCCGCGGUCGCGGAUCUGACCGCCGCCGAAGUCGAUCAUCCAACGGAAUGCGCCGUGAGUACGCUUCUUGUUGUAGGGGAUCCAGCGCGCCGGUCCGACCCACAUAUCGUAG
rnacentral:misc_RNA from 1 species